GUGGGGAAUAUUGGACAAUGGGCGCAAGCCUGAUCCAGCCAUGCCGCGUGAGUGAUGAAGGCCCUAGGGUUGUAAAGCUCUUUCAGUGGGGACGAUAAUGACGGUACCCACAGAAGAAGCCCCGGCUAACUUCGUGCCAGCAGCCGCGGUAAUACGAAGGGGGCUAGCGUUGUUCGGAUUUACUGGGCGUAAAGCGCACGUAGGCGGAUGGUUAAGUCGAGAGUGAAAGCCUGGAGCUCAACUCCAGAACUGCCUUCGAUACUGGCGAUCUUGAGUCCGGAAGAGGUGAGUGGAACUCCUAGUGUAGAGGUGGAAUUCGUAGAUAUUAGGAAGAACACCAGUGGCGAAGGCGGCUCACUGGUCCGGUACUGACGCUGAGGUGCGAAAGCGUGGGGAGCAAACAGGAUUAGAAACCCUAGUAGUCC
rnacentral:rRNA from 1 species